GCUAAAUUGACCAGAUAAUUUAAUUAAUUUCUUAAACAGAAAUUCAAUUGAAAUGGGCCAGAAAGACUAGAGAGACACGAAGGGGCACAAGCAGGGAAAAAAUUGGGAAUGUGUUUGUGGACUGCUCGAUUCGCUGCCAUCAAGUGAGCCAGCCAAACAGAAGAGCUUUCAGAGUGACAGGGAAGUAACUUGAAUGGGAACCGUUAAAUCGCAAUAUCCCUUUGAUAAUCCGAAUCGCAUGCUCGGUCGGAGGUUUUCAACUCUUCAGCCGGCCAUAAAUAGCCGCUUGGGUCCCAAAACCGAUCAAAAAAUCCACUCUUUCCGACAAGAUGAACGUACUCCAAGGCUGUGUGCUUUUCUUCCUGGGCCUGGUCCUCUGCGGUGCGAAACCACAGGACUUGGGCUGCGGUAAUAGGCGCUACUACAAUUGGGCCGCCAACACUUGCCCGCCCAUCCUCGAUCGUUAAGCAAAGGCUAGGCACAAAGAAAUGCAGAAUGGCGUAAAAAUAAUAUUUACCGACUGAAUAAAAGUUUUCUGCUAGAUUGUUUGUGUCGCAUAUGUGUCCGUUAUCCGUCCCCAUAUUUGCUUUCCAUUAAAUUUCAAUUAUUCUGUGGGAA